rnacentral:rRNA from 1 species
GAAGGCUGAAAUUCGCCUUUAUGAAGCCGGAAUUGCUAGUAAUGGCAGGUCAGCAUACUGCCGUGAAUACGUUCCCGGGCCUUGUACACACCGCCCGUCACACCAUGAGAGUUGGAAAUACCCGAAGCCUGUGAGCUGACCUUUGGGGGGCAGCAGUCGAAGGUAGAGCCAAUGAUUGGGGUGAAGUCGUAACAAGGUAAC